rnacentral:rRNA from 1 species
AGUCGGACGAGAAGGUACCUUCGGGUACUGGAGAGUGGCGCACGGGUGAGUAACGCGUGGGGACCUACCUCUUAGUGGGGGAUAACGGUUGGAAACGACCGCUAAUACCGCAUACGCCCUUCGGGGGAAAGAUUUAUCGCUAAGAGAUGGACCCGCGUUGGAUUAGAUAGUUGGUGAGGUAACGGCUCACCAAGUCGGCGAUCCAUAGCUGGUUUGAGAGGAUGAUCAGCCACACUGGGACUGAGACACGGCCCAGACUCCUACGGGAGGCAGCAGUGGGGAAUAUUGGACAAUGGGGGCAACCCUGAUCCAGCCAUGCCGCGUGAGUGAAGAAGGCCUUCGGGUUGUAAAGCUCUUUCAGAUGCGAAGAUGAUGACGGUAACAUCAGAAGAAGCCCCGGCUAAUUUCGUGCCAGCAGCCGCGGUAAUACAAAAGGGGCUAGCGUUGUUCGGAUUUACUGGGCGUAAAGGGCACGCAGGCGGUCCUGCCAGUCAGGGGUGAAAGCCCGGGGCUCAACCCCGGAACUGCCUCUGAUACUGCAAGACUAGAGACUAGGAGAGGGUGGUGGAAUUCCCAGUGUAGAGGUGAAAUUCGUAAAUAUUGGGAGGAACACCAGAGGCGAAGGCGGCCACCUGGACUAGAUCUGACGCUCAGGUGCGAAAGCGGGGGGAGCAAACAGGAUUAGAUACCCUGGUAGUCCCCCCCGUAAACAAUGAGUGCUAGUUGCCGGGAUUUCCAUUUUCGGGACGCCGCCUACGCCUUUAACCCUUCCCCCGGGGGGAUACGGUCCCCAGAAUUAAAACUCA